UUUUUUUUUUAAAGAGAAGAGAGAGGGUUGAACCGAUUCCCGAACGUGGAUCCUUUUAGAGAACAUUCAAAGGAUCAUCCCCUUCCUGGGGCGCUUUCUCUACCUUGGCAAUCAAAGCUAAACUCCCAUUGCUAGCCCCACGGCCAGCCUGCAGCCUGGGGCGAGGGCAAGCCUCCCACUUCAGCGCCCCAAGCCCGGCCAGAGGAGACGCUGUCCCCAGAGGCCAGAAGCCGCUGGCACUGACCACGCGGAGGGCCAGGGGGACGGAGGGGCAGGCUUCUCACUCCGCACCCCAAACCCUCAAUCGGACUCUGGCUCCGGAGAGUUGGCUCCUUAUGGCUGGUGACUGUUUUGCCGCUGCUGAAGAAUCCAGACCAAGUCUUGGGCCCAGGAAUCCAUUGCUCAACUUCAUUAGCAACAGGAAGACAUUAAGUGAAAGUAAAGACUGGAACAGCCCAGAACCAUGUGACAGGCAGCCUUUAAGUCCUGGGCUCUGGUAUAUUUUAUGCCACCUCAACUGUGCAUCAAGCUCCACUUCCUGGACUCAUUAGAACUGUGUGCCCAAAGGGCCAGGGUUGAGCCCAGGGCUCUGUGCAUGCUGGGUAGGCAUGCCAACUCCUGAGCUGAUUCGUGGGUCACCUAGAAAAGAAAUCCAAUAAUAAUAACAACAUUAAUUGCAGCUGUCACAUAUUGAACACAGACAAAGUGCCAGACACUGUGCUAAAUGCCUGACAUGCAAAAUCUAUUGACUCCAAUCCAUAUAACAACCUUAUAAAGCAAGGUAUUAUUACUUGCAUUUGCUAUGUAAAGAAGCUCAGAUUGGAGGGUUUGUCAGUGGUUUUCAAACUUGAGUGCACAAGAAGCUGAGUACUCUCCCAGAAUUUCUGACUCAGUAGGUCUGGGCUGGGGCCCCAGGAUUUCCAUUUUCACAAGUCCCCAGGUGCUGCUACUGCUGACCUGAGGGCCACGUGGGAGAAACAUCAAUUCAAGUUGGCACAAUGAGUAAGUGAGAGAAUGAGUUUCCAAAAUUAAAAAUCUGACUUGGAAAUAUACUCUUAGAAAUCUAUAUUCCUUCAAAUUUUCUAACAUUAAACUUUUGAAUUAAUAGCUGGUUGCUGCAUUCACAAAGCACAGUAGCUUGGAUGGCUGCUUAUUUGUAUUAAAUGUUCUUUUCCAUGAAGUUCUUCAUGGCACAAAACAGUUGGUGAUACCUUCAAAGGGGAGGAUUUCAGGGACAUUUGCAGAAGGAGCAUAAAGUGCUUAAGUCACCUCUACUUGGCCAUGCUUGAGAUCAGCAGCCCUGAUGGCGUAAAGGAUUUGCUAGGGCUGUGACCCACUUCCAGCUGCAAGAUUCAUCAGAGCUUCCAAGAUGGAGCCCAGCUGAGCAAGCCACACCUGGCUACCAUCUGUGCCUGAGAGGCAUGGUGUUACCUGGGUUCCCAACCAGGAAGAGCUCUCAACAAGUACCCAACUUGGGCAUCAGAGGGCUCUGGAUCCAUUGAAUAUUGCUCAGGUGACAGAGCCUAGGUCUUCAUUGCUCAAGGCACAGCAAGAGUAUUCUGUCACAAAGAGUCAAAUGCUUUCCUGAUUGCUACAGUCAGAUCCAGGAGAGGUCCCUGAGCAGCUUGUGAUCUGAAGUUCUGUAGUGAACUGAUAAUUACGAACAUCACCAGCGUCCAUCCUGAAAAGAAAGCACUGGAGCUUAUAUCAGGGGACCUAAUCAUUCAAAGAAACUACAGAAUGGAAGAGCCUGGAAUUGGCAGUGGGAUCCACUGAGGCUGAAAGAAGCACUAAUACUGUGCAAGACAGAAUAUGAAAAAUAAAGAAAAAGACUGACCUUUGAUGACACUAGUUCCAGGUGUACCUGAUGCCAGUUCUGCCCUUCACCUUUUCAGGGAUACAAGACCAUACAUUCUGUUAUUCUUCAAGCAGUUUGAGUUGAUUUCUAUCAUUUUCAAUGGCAAGAUGUGGAACCCAUCCUUUAGUUUUGUCAAACCGAGGAUUAUAUAUCAAAUAUAUUAAUGUCCUUUCAAUUAGUUAUGCGAGGAAAAUGGGAUGUAUGCAAUGGGAUGUAUGCUAUGGGUUUUGCUUUACUGUUUGGUUUACUGUAUCAUUUUCAGUUGGAAUAAAAGGCA
rnacentral:lncRNA from 1 species